CAAAAAAAAAUUGCUUUUCCAUGGAGGCAUUUAUUUCUGCCUAGUGUAUCUGGUCCAGCAGACCCAUCCAGGUGUUUGUGCAUACUCGGAAGAAUUGUGCGAAAAGAACCAAAUCACCAACCUUCAAUUCUGUUCCUCCACAGCCCUUUCUGUACCCCAAAUCAUUUUACAAAGGACUCUGUGGCGAGCAGAUGAAUAGAUUGUGUAAUGAAAAGGGAUUCAGUAGGCGGGCUUAUAGAAUGGGGCUGCUUAGUCCAAUGGUGGCUGGGUGGAUGAUGGACUGACCAGUAGCUGUUCAGUCUAUGAAGCUGAAUGCCUGAGCUGUCUCAUGCUGGCAGUAAAGACCUGGAAAAUUCGUAAGAGUUGCUGCUAUUUUGCGCAUGUUGGAAGGCUGAAGGAUGUAUCUGGAGGAGUGUGGCCGCAGCACACUCAUAGUAACAGGCACACUUAGCAGUAAGAAAACACUUCCAAGCAGGACAGUAUCUAUGUCCUAGCCAAAAGGCAAAAGGCGCCAUGCAUCCCAUUAGGCCUGUUCUUGAUCAUGACCUUGAUCGAUGCUAUGAUGGGACAUACAGAAGUCACCUUCUCCCAUGAGGGACUGAGACACUAAGUGGUGCCUAUACUUAUCAGUGAGGAAUGUAAAUAAGCUCUCACCCACGUGGACACUGCCCCAGGCCUCUUUUGAGCAUUUCCAUGCAUAAAGGUCCCACCCAACUCAGUGUUAUGUAUAGGUGUCAACAGAAGAGUGAGAGACAAGGAUAGCCAUUAACAGUGAUGUACAGAAGCAGUCCAACCACAGCCAGGUGCAAUCAUGCUUCCACCCAACUAAUAAAUCCACUGAGGCUAGGUUUUUAAAAGUAGAUUAUUAACAGCUAAACUUUUUAAGUAAUGAAGGCAUUCUGUAUGGGGAGGGCACUCCUAGUGGCUGCUAAGUAAAAUCCCAGUGGCUGGGAUGGGAUACCUGCUUUAAUUUGUUGGCCAAGGAGGCUCCUGAAGUACCACAAACCAUAAAAGUUACAGUCACUGCUCCUGGUAUCACACCAAAGCUAGACGGUAAGACCUUGGUGCCUAAGAGCCCACGGCCACUGGUGAAGCUGCUAGGUGAGGGUUGUGGUAUAGGAUCUCAAUGCUUAGUAUGGCUGGCUGUUUAUACCACCCCGCCAAAGUUCAAAAACAUUACAAAACCUAACAGCAAGAGGGACUGCUAACGAUUUCCUUUGCAUUGAAACGGGGGAGGCUGGAGACUUGGGAAGUAAACAACAAACUGAGAAAACUGAGUCUUAAAAGAUUUACCAGGGCUUUCUCGAAGCUUACAAAAGCAGUUACACUUGCGGACAGAAGAGACUUCCUGCCAGAUGAGCUGCCUGCAGGCAUUUCUGGGGACCCAGACUGGAAGUUCCUGUGAGUGGUCACUUAGGCUGGAGUGCAUUUUGAAGAUGCAGCUGUCUAGAAGCUGUCCAUGGUCCUAGGAGUAAUCCUAAUGCAAGAGUCCGUUUGCCUAGCUGGACUUGGGUGGAAUUAUUUUCUGGAGCAUGUAGACGUUUGCAUGUGAGUUCUUUCAUGUCUCUGAAGAUGACUGUUACGGCUGAAGGCUUUGCCACACCGUUUACAUCCAUAGGGUUUUUCUCCAGUAUGGGUUGUUUCGUGCCUCUGGAGAUGACCGUGACAUAUGAAGGCUUUCCCGCAGUCUCUGCAUACAAAGGGUCUGUCUCCAGUAUGAAUUUUUUCAUGUAACUGUAGGUUACUGUGACAUCCAAAGGCUUUGCCACACUCUGUACAAACAAAGGGCCUGUCUCCAGUAUGGAUCUUUUCAUGUAACUCAAGAUUACUGUAACACUCGAAAGAUCUGCCGCACCGCUUGCAUAUGAAGGGUCUGUCUUCAGUGUGAGUCUGUUCAUGUCUCUGGCGAUGGCUGUUCAGUCUAAAGGCUCUGCCACACCGUGUACACUCGUAGGGCUUUUCCCCUGUGUGAAUCUUCUCGUGUACUUGAAGAUCGCUAUGCCGUCUAAAGGCUUUCCCACAGUGUUUACACUCGUGACGUUUUUCUCCCGUGUGAAUUUUUUCAUGUACCUGCAAGGCACCCGGAAAUAUAAACGCUUUCCCACAUCGUUUACAUUCAUAGGGUUUCUCGCCAGUGUGGAUUCGUUCAUGUAAGUGAAGGUAACUGUGGUAUCGAAAGGCUUUCCCGCACUGUUUGCACUUAUAUGGUUUUUUCUCAGUAUGGAUUCUCUCAUGUCUUCGAAGUGAGCUGUACGAACUCAGAGCUUUCCCACAUUGGUUGCACUCGUAACAUUUUCCUCCAGCAUGUGUUCCUCCAUGUGCACAGAGUAAGCUAACUUUCCCAGAGGUCUUUCCGCAUUCCUUGUAUUGAUAGGGAUUUUUUCCACUAUGUGUUUCCUGACGUAUUUCCAAUGUACCUGGAAAACCAAAGUAUUUUAAACAUACUUCACACUCACAUGGCCC